rnacentral:rRNA from 1 species
GACGAACGCUGGCGGCGUGCUUAACACAUGCAAGUCGAACGGUAAGGCCCCAGCUUGCUGGGGUACACGAGUGGCGAACGGGUGAGUAACACGUGGGUGACCUGCCCCGCACUUCGGGAUAAGCCUGGGAAACUGGGUCUAAUACCGGAUAGGACCGCACCGUGAGGGUGUGGUGGAAAGUUGUUCGGUGUGGGAUGGGCCCGCGGCCUAUCAGCUUGUUGGUGGGGUAAUGGCCUACCAAGGCGGCGACGGGUAGCCGGCCUGAGAGGGUGGACGGCCACAUUGGGACUGAGACACGGCCCAGACUCCUACGGGAGGCAGCAGUGGGGAAUAUUGCACAAUGGGCGGAAGCCUGAUGCAGCGACGCCGCGUGGGGGAUGACGGCCUUCGGGUUGUAAACUCCUUUCACCAUCGACGAAGGUUUUCUGACGGUAGAUGGAGAAGAAGCACCGGCUAACUACGUGCCAGCCGCCGCAGUAAUAC